rnacentral:rRNA from 1 species
UACAGAGGGUGCAAGCGUUAAUCGGAAUUACUGGGCGUAAAGCGUGCGCAGGCGGUUUUGUAAGUCUGUCGUGAAAGCCCCGGGCUCAACCUGGGAAUUGCGAUGGAGACUGCAAGGCUUGAAUCUGGCAGAGGGGGGUAGAAUUCCACGUGUAGCAGUGAAAUGCGUAGAGAUGUGGAGGAACACCGAUGGCGAAGGCAAUCCCCUGGGCCUGUACUGACGCUCAUGCACGAAAGCGUGGGGAGCAAACAGG